CAUCAGGAAUAACUAGAAUAUUUUCAAUGAGGGAACCAACUAUAUAUAUAGUUUGCACCAUUAAUCGUCAUAAGUUGAACUUGUGUGGAGGUUUGAAACCAAACAUGUACUUCAUGAUGUCUACUGUAUGUGAUAGUUAUUUCACUUGUACUAUACAUCCAUCUCAAACACUGGAUUCUCAAGGUUUUCCUAUGUUCAUGCAUGUAACAUAUAUUGGACUAGAGCAAUAAAUAAAGCAGGUGUCUAUGCUCUAAAGUAAUGGUUAAUAACAUUAAGGAUUUCUGUGAAAUAUUACAACAGUUGUAGAUUCAUGCAUAUUUAAUUUGCAAUUUCAUCUUCAUACCACACCAUCUCCCUUAAGAUCAAUAGCCUAGGCUUCUCUUUGUUUAGCUCCACCAACAUCUUGCUCUCAAUGGAUAAGGGUUUUCCUGAAUGGCGUUGUUUUUCUUGUUGCUUUGUGUUUUCUGGUGUACAUGUUGAAUUGCAUGCAAAAAAAAUGUUACAAAAUGUAUGUGAGCAAUUAUCGGCAUAAGCUAGCUCCAAUGGGAAGCAAAAGAGCAACAGAGCAUUGGUUUUAUGGGUAUUUUAUGCACUUCUCCAAUAAAAUUUAAUUAGUUGCAUAAAAAGGAAGCUGGCUAUGUUUAAUCUUGCUUCAUACACUCUUAUUCAACUGCAUGCCCUCCAGAAUUUACAUACCACUGAACCAGCACAUGUUCACUACAUAUACAUAUAUAUACACUGUUAUCUUGGUGCGGUAGAUAUAUAUAUGUUUGUAUCGUUUGUAUAUGGGUUCGUGUUAGUGAUCGGAACCAGUUGCUGGCAUAUUUGUAAUUUGUGUAUCCAGUGUACUAUACCGGCCUAGGUUUAAGUCGGGGUCCCAGAAAACAUGGCGUCGAAAACAAAUGACUCGUGGUUCCCAAUUUACUAGAGGAAUAUUAUGUCCUAAUAUUUUGACUGUUUCACUACUGAGCUUCAAAAAUUAAUUUAAAGUUGCACGUACAGUUCGCACUCCCUAAAGUUUAGCUCAAUAUCCACCAUUGAUAUAAUUAGCUGGUUAUAUAUAGGGAGCGUAGAAAAUUUCGUGUGGUGUGGCAGUGCCUUGCAUGCUGCUACCCUCUGCGUAUAUAAGCAGGAAGCGAUGCGCCUGCUCUGAGGCGCCACUCGAUAAACUUUGUUUUAAUAAAUUCCAAGAGAGUACUUUCUUGUGGAGACACUGCAAAAUGGAGUCGUCACGCAAGUUCUUCCCUGCCGUUGUCCUCCUACUUCUCAUCAUCGCGGCCACAGAUAUGGCGGCCGUGCAGGCGAGGGAGUGCGAGAAGGAUAGUGCCAAAUUCGUUGGGCUUUGCAUGAACGUAGACAACUGCGCCAAUGUGUGCCGUGGUGAAGGGUUCGUCUCUGCCAGGUGCAGCACAUUCCGCCGUCGCUGCGUCUGCAUUAAGCCGUGCUAGAUCAAGUCAAGGAUGCGCGUGAGAUCGCCGGCCGAUAUGAUCGACCACCAGAUGCGUGCAUCGUCAAGUUUUUCUGUCAUACAUGUAUGGUGCCUGCAUCAUGCAUGUAUCUAUGUGUGGCACUCCUUGGAUAAGUCAAUCUUCAGCUUAUUGAAAGGCUUGUGCUUAUUAAUUUGCUCCAGUCAACAAUAAACCUGGCAGAUAUUUUCUUACUUCCCUUGUUAAGGAUUAGUAAGGUCGUCCAAGCACCAAACUAAGUCUAUAACAUCUUACCAAAGUUAGUUCAUUUUCCUCUCAACAUGACUCACCGGGUUUUCAUUGUAACACCGAUGCUUGUACUCCUGUUUACAAUAUAUAUCUAAUUAUAUAGAUACAGAGUUUCUGCUUGA